rnacentral:ribozyme from 16 species
AGAGCGUAUAUAUGUAAGUAUUAUUAGCAUCUAGCUAUAUUUGUAUUUUCUUCUCUUUUUUUCUUGUCUUUUUUGUCUCAUUUUCAUAGACGAAAGCGCGGGAAAUUUGAAGCUUCUGGAACUGACGACUGACAAGGCCCAUUCA